CCUACGGGUGGCAGCAGUAGGGAAUAUUGCUCAAUGGAGGAAACUCUGAAGCAGCAACGCCGCGUGGAGGAUGAAGGUUUUCGGAUUGUAAACUCCUUUUGUUAGAGAAGAUAAUGACGGUAUCUAACGGAUAAGCACCGGAUAACUCCGUGCCAGCAGCCGCGGGAAUACGGCGGGUGCAAGCGUUACUCGGAAUCACUGGGCGUAAAGGGCGCGUAGGCGGGUUCGCAGGUCAGAUGUGAAAUCCUAUGGCUUAACCAUAGAACUGCAUUGGAAACUGUUAGUCUAGAGUAUGGGAGAGGUAGGUGGAAUUCUUGGUGUAGCGGUAAAAUGCGUAGAGAUCAAGAGGAAUACUCAUUGCGAAGGCGACCUGCUAGACCAUAACUGACGCUGAUGCGCGAAAGCGUGGGGAGCAAACAGGAUUAGAUACCCUUGUAGUC
rnacentral:rRNA from 1 species